GCGUUGGUGGUGCAUUAGCACAUGCUCCCGGAAAGAGUAGGAUCUGGGUUCAAAUCCCGGCUGACGCA